AUGCGCGCCGUCCAGUACAGUGGCUACGGUGGCGGCAGCGCUGCCCUCAAGUAUGUGGAGAUCCCUGUUCCAUCACUGAAAAAAGGUGAAGUUCUUAUAAAAGUUGAAGCAGCAAGCAUCAAUCCAGCCGAUUGUCGGAUACAGAAGGGACUGCUACGUCCUUUUGUCCCUAAAUUUCCAUUCAUUCCAGUAACCGACGUUGCUGGAGAGAUUGUUGAGAUUGGUUCUGCGGUUCAAGAGUUCAAAGUUGGCGACAAAGUUGUUUCCAAGUUGAUAUUCUGGAAAGCUGGUGGCCUCGCAGAGUACGUGGCGGCAUCGGAGAGCAUCACCGCCCCCCUCCCUACCGGCGUGUCCUCUGCGGAUGCCGCAGGGCUCCCCGUGGCCGGCCUCACGGCGCUUCAGGCCGUGAAGGCCAUUGGCACCAAGUUCGACGGCACGGGCGUCGGCAGCAACAUCCUGAUCACUGCUGCGUCCGGUGGCAUCGGCUCGUACGCCGUCCAGCUCGCUAAGCUCGGGAACCACAACGUCACGGCCACCUGCGGCGCGCGCAACCUGGAGCUUGUCGCGGACAUCGGCGCCGACGAGGCGCUCGACUACAAGACCCCGGAAGGCGCGGCACUGAAGAACUCUUCCGGCAAGAAGUACGACUACAUCGUCAACACCACGAACGGCGGCAAGUGA
rnacentral:rRNA from 1 species